AUCGACUGGGCGUAAAGCGCUCGUAGGUGGCUUUGUAAGUCAGGGUGUGAAAGCCCACGGCUCAACCGUGGAAUUGCACUUGAUACUGCAUUGCUUGAGUUCAGGAGAGGGUAGUGGAAUUCCAGGUGUAGGAGUGAAAUCCGUAGAGAUCUGGAGGAACACCAGUGGCGAAGGCGACUACCUGGACCGAUACUGACACUGAGGAGCGAAAGCGUGGGGAGC
rnacentral:rRNA from 1 species